AAGCACAUUGGGGGAACCAUCCGAAUUGGUCUAGACGUGAAUCACGACAACCCCCUGGAACCGAGUGGGAGAUCAUUAACGAUUUGAGGAUUGACAUGGCUAGGCUGCAGCAAAGACUAAAUAACAUGCAGAGAAUGUUGGAGGCCUGCAUGGAUAUGCAACUUGAACUGCAACGAUCUGUGAGACAGGAGGUCUCCGCAGCUCUGAACCGAUCAGCCAGUUCAUCAGGCAAGCUAUUAGACUGCAGGUUUCGAGGGAGGGGGGGUAGGGAAGUUUCUUGCUGAGAUCUUUGUCAAAACCUUAACUGGCAAGACCAUAACUCUUGAGGUCGAAAGCAGUAACACCAUUAACAAUGUCAAGGCUAAGAUUCAAGACAAAGAAGGAAUUCCUCCUGACCAGCAGCGUUUGAUAUUCGCUGGUAAGCAGCUUGAAGAUGGUCGUACUCUUGCUCAUUGCAACUUCCAGAAAGGUUAUUUUCUCUCUCCUUGUUUCAGUUUUUUAGUUCUUCUUUUGUUAUCUUUGAAUUAUUUGUAUUGGUUUUGACAUAUGCACUAUGCAUUCCUAACUCCUAAGAGCUUAAGAUUAUCACUAAAUAAGUUUUUGAAAUUGGUAGGAGUUUAGGAAUGUAUGACAAAAUCACGCUUAUUAGUUAUUGCUUUAUAUUUUCAUUUUGAGUUUUUAAAUUAUUUGUAUUGCUUUUGAUAUAUGCAAUUGUAAGAGCUAAAGGUUACUUUCCUAGAAUUUGUUUAUUUGCUUAAUUUUGGCGACUUUUGGGUUGCCUAAGCUAUCCAAUCUUGUUCCUUCUAUGAAUUUUUUUCAUUACUUGAGCUAUUGUCUUGCGACUUGGAUUGGAUCUAAGGAGAUGAUGGUCGGUGAGUGAGACUUGGAGAUUGCAUCUUCUACUUAGAGUAUCACAAGGUUAAAACAUCUCUGUUUAGAUACCUAUUUGUGCUUUAGUUCUUCCUUGGGUCCUAGCUGUUGUUGUUGCACACUCAGUUUUCUAUUGUCACACUCUGGUUAGUGCCUUAUUUUCCCCUCUUAAUCUGCUAUGUUAUCUCUCAUUAAUGGUAAUAAGUUCGGGUUACUUGUAGAAUUUAACAUUGAACUCAUGAUGUGGCUUAUUAUUUUGUAUUACAUAUCUUUUCCAGAAAGUUGUGAGUAGUUUCCCCUGAAUUUAGAAGUACGAAUCUACAAAUGCAACCUUAGCACAGUUUCACCUCCCCAACCAAACAACCAGAAGUGCUUGAGAUUAUUACCAUUGAUAGAUUGAUUAACUACAAAUUUUACCCGGAAUUGAAGAACACAAGAAAUUUUGACAUGUUAGUUUUGUACUUGUGUUAAAUGUUCUACUGAACAAAGUGAACAUUUUCUCAGUUUCUGCAACAUUGAAACAGUAGAUACUACAUAAUAUGAGAAUAAGUUCCUGAUACAUCUGACCCCUGACACAUUCUUCGUGUGAUCGCUGCAAGAUUAACUGUAACUAUCAUGAGAUUGGACCCUUUUGCAUAUCUUAGAGAUAAGCUUGUUGUUUCUCAUUUUAGAAAAUACUUGCUCAAUGAUAACACUCUUCUUUUAUAUGAGUCCUUCGAUUGACUCCAUUCUCCAUUUAUUAUGUUGUGGAAUGUGUGGGUGCAUAUAUAACUAUAUGAUUUUGGAAGUUAUGUUGACCCUAUCUGAGAUGCUGGCAAUCAUUUGAUCUCCGUUCCCCUGACCCUCUUUUAUAUUUUUACUGUGUGUUUAUGUUUUCCUUUUGAAAUUCUUCUUGCUUUGGGGACUGGGUGUGUUUUCAAGUCACAAGAAUUAAUGGGUGAUUAAGAAAUCAAGAAGUGAAAUGUUUUCCUUCCUUAAAUGCUGCUUUUAUUGUUAAAUGUUAUCUCAGGGGCAAAUAAACAAGUUUAUGCUCCAGAGCUGUUUGAUGCUGGGUGACUAUUGCAGGCAGAAAUCACCUUUGAUGGUGGAAAAGUUAUGGUGUCCACCACUGGUCCUAUUGAUCCUGAUUUGUUCAUGUUCUAAAACUUUGGCGUAGUUGUUUUGGAUUUGACUUGCUGAUGCAUGUCAUUGUUUUGUUUUAUUAAUCAAUUUCAAUUCUAAAAGUGAAUGCAUUUAUGUUAAUCAGCACUAGGUUUGGGUAAACUUUUUCGGUGUUGUACUUGUAUUGUCAUUUUUGUUUGCUAUUCUAUUAUCCCUUGAAGGUUCUUGCCAACUUAGUGAUCA